UCUCAGCUGCGGCGGCAGGGGCUGAGGGCACAGCCAGCGGGCGGCGCGCCGCGGACUCCCAGGCAGCCCGCCGAAAGAAUCCUGAACAUCAUCAUAAAAAGACAGUCACCAGUCCUGCUCAUCUGGAGAAUUGUUCUCACAAUCUGCAGCGAGGAGAUAAAACAGAGUACUGCGGAGAUGAAGUAACUUUCCCUGAGACCCAUACCUGGUAAGUAAUGAAAGAAAAAGUAAAUACAUUCGAACAAA